rnacentral:lncRNA from 1 species
CAACCGAAUGAGCUAAACAUUUCCCCUUCAAUAAUUUAUUAGUUUUAAGUUUAUUCUUUUAAUUUAUUGGUUAAUUAAAUUAAAGGGUUAAUCUCAGUUUACUACCCUCAAGUUUCGUGGUUUUCAACAUUUAGUACAUGAAGUUUUUUUCGUCCCAGAGUCAUACCUAAAGUGUUAAUUUUGGGACAGUCUCAUACAU